rnacentral:rRNA from 1 species
UACGUAGGGGGCAAGCGUUGUCCGGAAUUAUUGGGCGUAAAGCGCGCGCAGGCGGUCAGUUAAGUUGGGUGUUUAAGCCCGGGGCUCAACCCCGGUACGCAUCCAAAACUGGUUGACUUGAGUGUAGGAGAGGAAAGUGGAAUUCCACGUGUAGCGGUGAAAUGCGUAGAGAUGUGGAGGAACACCAGUGGCGAAGGCGACUUUCUGGCCUAUAACUGACGCUGAGGCGCGAAAGCGUGGGGAGCAAACAGG